rnacentral:lncRNA from 9 species
GAGUGUCUUGCUCCGCCUUCAGCUGAGGUGUGGGCGCAGCCCUUUUCCACGAGGAGCUCUGGUGAACAAGUGCGAGUCCUCUACAUGUGGUGCUCUGCAAGCAAGUGAAAAUAGACUAAGCUCAAAGGAAAGAAAAGCGCUUGAUGACAAUUUUACCAAAAUGCUACCAUGUCCAUUGAUCACCUUUGAGAUUAAAAGAAAUAUUGUGAGGAAGACUGGUGUAUGAUCAGUCAGAUUAAUGAUUACUUAAGGUGAAAUGGAAGCUAAAAAAGAUUCAACAUCAGUCAUCUAUGGAAAAUGAAUAGGUGAUCUUCUAGGUAUGUUCCAAGCUUUAGUAAUUCAUGACCUAAGGAAUAACUGUAGUCAUGAAGUUAAGAUGUAAAUGUUUAAUUACAAUAAUUACCAACAAUGUUUCUGUACACUAUAGUAGAGAAGCUAGAGAAAAGUGUAUGUGAGUGUAAAACACUUAAAGUUGAUAUACAAGAGAAAUGUUUUAUUAAUUUAUUGGAAGAUAUUUCAUUUUUCUCAUACAAAAGUAUUACCUAGUGAUAUCUAAUGACUUUCCAUGUUUUGUUGUUAUUAUCAUUUUGACCUCUUGUGUUUCAUAAUAUGUUUGCAAACAAUUACAUCCAUCUAGGGGAAAUUGUUUAGAGACCUAACAGCCUUCUAUGAGUCAAAAUCAUUUGUGCAUAGAACAAGUAAAAAUCAUUUAACAUAUAGGAAUAUAACAUGUAUAGCUGGUAAAUCUGAAAUUGCUAAUGUAGAUUGCCACUCCAGUCAAUAUAUAUCAAACAUUUCUAUCAAAUGUACCAUCUAUCAUGUAUGUGCAUUGCUUUUGUAGUUUUUAUUUCCCUUUUUAUUGUAGAAAGUAUAUAUUACUGUGACUAAAAACUACUCUUUGGGGAAUACAGUGGUUUCCAGGUCAGUGGAAAUGUGGAUUUAAAUAUUAAAAAGUGGAGUAGUUUAACCCUAGUUUGACCUUUAUCACCUCUCAGGUGAAUUGGGUGUAUUUGAAAGAAUGUAUCUGAAAAACAACAGAAUAGCGAAAAAAUUACAUCUGUGUAACCCUGUGGUCAAUCCAAUAACAGUAUUUUUAAUGAAUAAGUUCAAAACAGUAUACAUGUGUGUAUGUCCACUGUGUCUCUUUGUUUGUGCAUAUUUGUAUUUAUGUACUUAUGUAUUUUCAAUGCAUUGUCUGUCUUGUGAAUAUUUCAGUCUUUCAAGACAUCAUUUGCUUUUUCUACCAAAAUAUCAAUCUCCAUUUAUAUUACUCUAGCAAGUAAACUUCAAGCUUCAAAUAAGUUAAGAAAUACUGCCAUGAAAGCUGGAAAGAAGGAGUCUAAAGACCAACUUAUUGGAAUUCCUGCUAUGGCUCAGUGGGUUAAGAACCUAACUAGCAUCCAUGAGGAUGUGGGGUUCAUUCCUUGGCCUUGCUCAGUGGAUUAAGGAUCCGGUGUUGCUGUGAGCUCUGGUGUAGGUUGCAGACACGGCUCGGAUCCUGUGUUGCUGUGGCUGUGGUAUAGGGCCACAGCUGCAGCUCCAAUUCUACUCCUGGCCUGGGAACUUCCUUAUGCCAUGGAUGUGGCCCUAAAAAAGCAAAAAAAAAAAAAAAAA